AUGAAUCCUCCCUUCAAGUCUUUAAGCCUUCCUCUCUGCCCACAGUUGACCAACCUGAACCUGGCGAACAAGAUGCUGAACAGAGAGAGCUUCACACUGAACCCUAAAGCUGCUACAAUCCAAGGACCAGUGAGAGCUGUUCACCCUGAAACAGAUCUACCGAACAGCACUGGCCACAGGCCACUAAAGGAAGAGGAUUGGCAGAUGCACAAUGACUACAGCCUGGUGAGAGGGGUGACACCCAAGCAGCACUACCAGCCCACCCAAGGGAGCUACCAGCUUCAGUUUGCUAUUCAGCAGUUGCAGCAACAGAGACUUAAGGCUCAUCAUCAAUUUCUGGACCAGACCCGCUGCGGACAUCAGGCUCAAUUUCCAGACCAGACACCACAUAGCCAAGCUCUCACAAAAUCAUCCAGCUGCCCUCCUUCCAGCUUUCACACUCUGCCCAAUCAAAGCCAUGGCCUAAGCCAUAUCCAGACCUGUGUUAGCCCAGCUCUUGCUCCAAAGCCACCCAGCGGUGCCCGAGAGGGACAAGUCAGGAAAACGACUGCAAAGCGUCUCGUCAAGCAGAUGUCCUCAGAGAGUUCAGCCAGUGGAAGCGUUGCCAGCAGCAAGCAGGUGGUCUACGAGGCCAUCUGCGGUAAAACAGGUGGGUUUAAUGUUGCAGUUCCACAUAGUAUGCUUAGUACUCUGCUGUAG
rnacentral:lncRNA from 1 species